rnacentral:lncRNA from 1 species
CGCUCUUCAACAUCGUCAGUUUUCCGGCGGGAGAUAGGUGUCGGUUGGACCAGCUUCGUGCUUUUUGUUUGAUCCUGUCGACGAUGGAGGAGAAGAGGUCUCGUUUCCUUCUUCCGAAGUGUUCCGGGAGACCGAGGUAUUUCCCAACCCCUCCUUCUUUUUCAAUUCCUAGAGUGUCCUUUGCUAUUUGUUUUAAGGCAGCCGGGGUUUUUUGGAGAAAGUCACCAUUGACUUAUCCGCAUUGAUUGAUUGACCUGAUGCACUUUCGUAUCGCUGUAGCACCCUUCGAAGGGUCUUAGUACUCUCCUUUGAUGCUCUAAUGAAGAACAUGGUAUCAUCCGC